AUCAAAUGUAUGCACACAGCUCAACCAUUGACAUUACUGAAUAACCUGGCAUGAGGGAAUGUAGCUAUGGAGGCAGGCUUAUGGUGGAGCAUUUAGCAAAAAUAUUUGUUUUGUGAAAAAACUAUACAUAUUUGAGAAUGCUCAAAAAUAUAGCAUUAUAAUAAAGUCUAAACCUAUUAAAUGCAUCAAAGUUGUAUUGGCGUCUCAAAUGUCCUGUGAAAA